GGGAAAUAAAUAUCUCAAGUGGGCAUUUAAGGAGCAUCCACAACUGUUGGACAAACUAAAAGAUGAUUGUGCCUGUUAGAGUAAAGAGACUUACUGAAGUAUGAAAGCCACCUUCCCGAGGUAGCCAGGCAAAGGAGAAAUAGAAAUGGCAGAAGCCAGGAGGAGCACAAAGGAGCAACAGGAAACCCUUUAACUAAAGAAUAAAAACACUCAAUUGACUGUACAAAAGAGAGAGGAGUGGCAGGUGAGUAGAAAGGGCAGGAGAUGGAUGGC
rnacentral:lncRNA from 1 species